ACCCCUCACACCCCUCGCACGCCUGGAAACACCCUCGGGGUAACACAAGCCGGGGUUGAGUUUCUUGAAGAGAAGCUGGCUGCAUCCUGGAGCCAGGGAAAGAGGAGCACAGGGGCCAAGCGGUCCAGGGCCACGGAGGAGCAGGACCCCUGGGGAAAGGCCCGGGUCUAGGCCGGGGCCAGGGGACCGUGGUGGAGACCUCAAAAAUGGCAGAACACGGAAGCAGGGCGAGAAAAGUAAACGUAGUCCUUGCGGCAGUUUGAAAUACACGCGGGUAAACGCUGGGUGACUCCGCCCGGAUGCAGAGUGGGGGUCUGUGUCUCUCCCCACAGGCUGCAGGGACCGGGCUCUGGGUAACCAGCAGAAGGUAACAGAACGAGGCUGCUUUUCCUCCAGGCUGUUCUGGUGUCCGCGCGUGGCUUGUGCGCUGACUCCUGACUUGGAGCGCCGCGUGGCCAGAGAAAUCUGGGUGCCUCCAGGCCACCAUGGUGAGAGGAGAGGCCACCGCACGAACGGAAGAAGCGAUGGAGACGGUCUUUACGACCUAAGAACAGAAAGAGUUUCUUAUACACAAUCCGAAAAGUAAAAAUUGAUUGAUUGAUUGAUUGAGAUGGAAUCCCACUCUGUCGUCCAGGUUAGAGUGCAAUGGCUUGAUCUCGGCUCAUUGCAACCUCCGCCUCCCGGGUUCAAGCGAUUCUCCUGCCUCAGUCUCCCGAGUAGCUGGGAUUAUAGGCGCCCGCCACCACGACUGGCUAAUUUUUAUAUUUUUAGUAGAGACGCAGUUUCACCGUGUUGACCAGGCUGGUCUUGAACCCCUGACCUCAGGUGAUCCGCCUGCCUCGGUCUCCCAAAGUGCUGGGAUUACAGGCGUGAGCCACCGUGCUGGGCCAAAAAUCAAUUUUAAAACGACCACAUGAAAAAUAAAUCUCCUGUAUCACAGAGCAUGUUCUGAGGAAAAUGAAAGCCACAGAUCCAGAAGAUAUUUGUGACACAUAUGAAAAACAAAAACUCAUAUUCAAAACAUACACAGCAUUGCUAUGAAUCAUUAAGAAAAAUGAUUUCGUCUCCUCUACAGGAGCCUGAGUGAAGGACAAGGACAGAUCAUUAUAAACCAGGGAGCUUGAAGAGCUAGUUAACAAGCACAGAAAAUAUGUUCCCCCACACUGUUAAUCAAGAAAAUUAAAACUGUAAUGAGAUGCCGCAUUGUAUCCAUGGGAUUUCUAAAAGUACAAAGUUCCACAAUACCCGUUGUUGACGGAGCAGGGAAACCGCAGGAGCCUGCAGGAGAUGAGAUUGUAAAUGUGCAAGGACAUUUUGGAGAAGAGUUGACAACAUCUCACUCACGUGUAUCAAGCCAAGUGCCGAAAGAAGAAUUGGUUGUCAUAAAGAAAACAGAAACCCAGAAUGGAUGUAGCUUAUCCCUCCGAUGGAAAGUUACAAAGAAGUUAAAAUGAAUGGGCUGCAUCUCUGUGUAACAAUUUGGAUCAAUAUCAAAGACACAUUUGUUAAAGCAAGGUGUACAAUGAAACCUGCAACAUGAUUUGUCUGUUUAGUAAAACACAGAAAAUCUAACUCCGCCUGGCUUACGAACACACACAUGUGUUAGAAUUUGGGAAAAGGAAAGGGAGGGAGGCCGGCUACACGUGAACUUUUGGAAAAUCUCAGAGGGUCUGGGGCACCAGGUGGAGACCAUGGCAGCCUUCAGGGAUAUGAGGAUUUCCUGAAGACACCAUCCCAGUCAAGUGGUCUGCCUCAUACUGAGCCACCAGACCACCCAGCAUGUCCUCACCCGCGUGGACAGAUGACAGGGGGCUCUGAGCAUGCCCCAGUGCACCUUACGCACCUGUGAAGGUUGGGAGCCUGAGUGCAGCUCCUGUGGCACUGCCCGUGGCCAGGGAGAUGCCUCCUCAGUGCUCCUGACCCUCGGUGGAGGACCGGCCAGCGUGUGUGCCGACAGUGUGUCCACACAGGUGUGCUGCGCCCAAUGGGCAAGUCGGAAACAAAGGAAAAUGCUCUCUGAAGGAAAAGGCAAAGCAAUUUGGAUUUCUGCGAGAAAAUGAGACUGCAUGUGGCACUGUAAAUACCCUUGCUGCUGAACUUCUCGCUCCCCCCAGAUACACCCUUCAUAUUGACAUGUCUAGAACCUUAAACUGAACCAAGUUGAAAAGUGAGAUUAAUUAGGGCUGAGUUAACAGUUAACACAUACAAUGAAAUAUUGAAUAAGGCUUACUGAGCAAACAAGAAUAUACAGAAGUGGAGGAGACAAAGAGGAUAUUAAAAAUGCAGACAGUGAUGAGGCAGAUAGCUGGGACAAAUAAUGAAAAAUAGUAAAGGAGAUAAGGCAGAUAUUGGAGGAGCAAAGAGUCUCUGAAAUAGAUAUCGGUAUUGAAAGAUGCUAAACACGCUUCUAAAGAGACUUUCUAGCCGACACAGGGAGCUCACUGAUGGAUGAAGUAGAAACAUUUUUAAAUGGAAUCAAACAGGGCAAAGCGGGAGAAGAAAAAGAAGUAGGUAAACCAGUAAAUUAACUUUUCUCGUGUGUGCUGUGUACUAUUUGUGAGUGAGCAAUGAACGCUGUGGCUCCCUGGAGGGGCUGUGGUGGGAAGUUUCACUGCGAUCAAGUAGAGGUGGUGCCUUUGGACCUCUUCUCCUGAACCUGCAGGGAGAGGCGCAGAAUAUUCACAAGGUGAAGAUGCAACAAUUCAAAUGAGUGUCCAGGUUUUCAGGGUGGUUGCUAAACCCCAAAAGACCGAUAGCUUCGGGCAAAAGACUGCAGAAAGAACAGCUUUACAUUUUUACGGAAGCAAUGGGAAAUAUACCCUGUAAGCCUUGAAAAAUUCCCGAAGGGAUUCCUGUUCAUUCCUGUGGAUCCUAAUGGGCCAGCAUAGACCUGUUAGUCAAAAGAGGAUUUAUCUACAUUGCACACUCAUUCAGGCAGGCAGGGAAGUCAACGCCACUUUCAGAUGUUUGUAGAGCAUGAACUCUGUCCGUUCCCACGCCCUCCAAAGGCUGU
rnacentral:lncRNA from 1 species